rnacentral:piRNA from 1 species
CUCUCCAGUUCUUACUUUCCACAAGG